rnacentral:rRNA from 1 species
UGCACUGCGCGCGGCAUGGUCGUCCUCCGGAACACCAAAGGCGCAAAAAACAUAACUUGAGUUGUGCGGGAUUACGGGCGCGGCUCUCUGCAGCGUCCCUCCAUCCCCGGGUGUUGUAACCGGCAUGCGGUGUGGUCCCUCGGGGCCGUCACCGUGCCACAACAUACCGUGAGUGUGCAGGAUGUGACCCGAAAGAUGGUGAACUAUGCCUGAUCAGGUUGAAGUCAGGGGAAACCCUGAUGGAGGACCGAAGCAGUUCUGACGUGCAAAUCGAUUGUCAGAAUUGGGCAUAGGGGCGAAAGACCAAUCGAACCAUCUAGUAGCUGGUUCCUUCCGAA